rnacentral:tRNA from 1 species
GGGGAUGUAGUCUAGUGGUUAUGAUUUCUGCUUUGCAAGCUCUUGAGCUCUGAAUUGCAGAGGGUCCCGUGUUCGAAUCAUGGCGUCUCCA